GACGAACGCUGGCGGCGUGCUUAACACAUGCAAGUCGAACGAAGUGGCGAACGGGUGAGUAACGCGUAAUCAACCUGCCCUUCAGAGGGGGACACCAGUUGGAACCGACUGCUAAUACCGCAUACUGAAGGACGGGAUUGCGUCUGAUUGGCUCGUUGGAGGGGUAACGGCCCACCAAGGCGAUGAUCAGUAGACGGGCUGAGAGGAUGAACGGCGACAUUGGGACUGGGACACGGCCCAGACUCCUACGGGAGGGAGCAGUGGGGAAUAUUCCGCAAUGGACGAAAGUCUGACGGAGCAACGCCGCGUGAGUGAUGACGGCCUUCGGGUUGUAAAGAUCUGUUAAUCGGGACGCGGUACCGGAAUAGAAAGCCACGGCUAACUACGUGCCAGCAGCCGCGGUAAUAC
rnacentral:rRNA from 1 species